rnacentral:lncRNA from 1 species
GUGCUCGCUGAACCGUUUUAAUCGUUUUUAUUAGAAAGAAAUGCACUCUAAAUACGGAACAAUUUCAUUUUUUUGUGGGGUCCGUGUUGAUCAGUCUUAAGUUUUAUAUGUGUGUGUUUUGUGUACUUUUGUUUGUUGGUCAUUUUUUCUUUUCUCCAUGUUGUUGUCAGUUUAUUUUCGAUUUGUUAGUUUGAAUAUCCCUAUGAUAUCUUUUGCAUCUUAUUUGUUUUCAAUUAUAGUAAAACAGCUUGCUGAAUGAGUGACGAUAUUUUCAAUUCUUUCUAUUAUAAAAAUAAUAAUCCACG